UAUCCCUAUGAUGAUCGAUUUGGUAUAUAAAAGUAGUGGACUGAAUCUUACUGAUGAAUUAUCAAUUCUGAGGGAUA